rnacentral:lncRNA from 1 species
CUCCCUGGGCAUUUAUUUUUUAGCAUUUACUGUAGUAAAUUCAACCUGGUUAGCAACAAGUACAGUUUUCUAUAGAGUUAGUCCAAACAGUAACUGCUUGCAUAUAUAUGGCAUAGUUUUUCAUGGGAUACUUAAAAACAGUUCCAUCAGACUUUAUUUCCAUGUUGGCAUGUAGUUGAGGUGAGGUAAUUAUCUAUUUAUGGGUUUGUUUUCUUCUGUAUGUUAAUUGAUUCUGAGUAUUUCAGUUCUGUUUUAUGCUUUUGCCUGGUUUUACAUUUCUUAUUAUUUAACUCAAUAGCUUUGUAAAGAAAAUACAAGUAAUACAAAUACUUGUAAAGGAAAGUAUUCUCCCAUCUUCUGAAUGAGAAUAUGUAAGCUGCCAUGCUGUGAAAGGUCCUGUGAAGAAGGGCAUCAAAAUGUGAGUAGCCUCCAGGAUCUGAGAACCAGAUGA